CCUUCACCAAAUUUGGGGGGGCCAUCAUCCAAAGACACUACAUUUCACAUCUCACAACUUCAUUCACAAACACAAUUUCCUUGCCGUGACCUCCAUCCAUUCAUCUAGCCAUACUACAUCUCAUCAAUCCAUACACUUUCAUCUCUUAGCCGUGCAAAUCCAUUACAUCCAUCAUUCCCCUUCCUAAAGGAAUCCAUCUCCAUCCAAAGACACUACAUUUUCACAUCUCACAACCCCAUACACUUACACUUUCAUCCCUUGCCGUGACCUCCAUUUAGCCACUCCCCUUUCUUGUGCUGCAACAAGGUGGUGAAAAGAAAGUCCUUGGCGUUUCAAGCUUGAAGAUUGAAGCGUUUUAGGUGUACUUCGUUCUUGCUUUCAAUGUCUACUUUGUUAUUUUCUGAUUUUGUUGCAACUAUGAGUGGCUAAACCCCUAUUUAGUUAGGGGGAAGUUUGAAGCCAUGAACAUGCUUGAGAUAUGAAUUGAUUUCUUCCAAUUGUGAUUUGAUAAGUUGUGAUUGCAAUUCAAAUAUCUAUUUUAUUCAUAACUGAUUCUUGUAUGUUUAUUAAGGAUGCAUACUUAGUUUUCAUGCAUGAAUUAGAUGCUAGAAUAUAAAUGAGUUUUACCUAAUCGUUACAAGUUUAUAUUCAUGAGUAGUGAAGGUUGUUUAUCACAAUCGUGUUAAUUGAAUUCUUGGCAAAUGUAUCAUGCAUUCAUAGUUAUAAUUGCCUCGUCAACACUUAUGAUUUUCAUUGCACGUAAUGAUCUCUGAUUGUAUCUCUAUUAUGCAUUCAUAUAGGGGACUUUUAGAGAAUGAUUUGGGUUGUUGCAUGCAUUCAUCCAACUCAAUGAGUAAAGGAAAAUCUGAGGGUUAAUUUGUGCAUCACGGUUAAUCUGGGGUGUUGAGCAUCAUAGUUUAUUGAAAAGCAAUUGGAAAUUGAUUCAUGUACAAGUGUGUCAUGUGCGAAGAACGGACCUCUUAACUAUCCAUCCUCAUCUCAUUUCUUAAAUUCGCUUUACAAUCUGUCUAGUUUUUAUAAGUGUUUGUUUCGUUUCGAAUUCGUCAAAAACCAAAAUCCCUUUACUUUUUGUUUCAAAGUGUUAAAUUUAUAUUUCGUUAGUGUUUUUUGAGUGUUUUGAUUCAAGUCAAAACCCAAAUUUCGUCCAAAGUUGUGUUAGAGUCAAAUCUGCCCAGUAAGUGUUUUUAGGCAGAUUUGAGCGUUUUUAGCUUGUUUUGAGUCAUUUGAGUUUGUUUUAAGUUCUUUGAGUCUAGUUUAGUGUUUUUAACUUUGUUAUAUGUUUUUAAGUCAGUUUAGAGGUUUUAGAAAGCUCUCUUAAUCCCCGGUUUAGAACGAUCCCUACUUGCAUUUAAACUACAAUUUGACAACAAGAGGGUUUAAUUUGAGUGCUUAACUUUACCUCUGCAAACAACUCAUCCAAAGCAAAAGUAUUUCAUAUCAUGAAGGUUGAAAGCAAGAGUAUCUCAUAUCAUGCUUUCUCCCCGUCCUUCUCCUUGUCAUUGUUUUGGGACAAGGAGAAAUAGAGCAAUCAGCCAGCACUUGGUAUCAAUCUUCUGAUCUGGAACCGACUGCCUGAAACCCCUUCCUGAUUGCUUACCUAGCCUUGCUCUCGAGUACUCAUCUUCAUCAUUUUAUGCUUCCUCUUCGUCUACCACAUCUGUCUGGGGAACAGAUAAGGGAAGUGAAAAUGAUACCUCGAAGCAUAUGGAGACAAUUUGCCAAUUCAUCCUCAGCUAGGGACAAGGAGAAAGAAAGCAAGAGGUGGGCACUUGGAAAGAUUGAAGAAAGAAACAGACCAACACCUUUACCUCGUGCCUGCCUUGCCGUGCAGAAGAACAAGCAGAAAGAAUGUAGACUGCACAUCAAAUCAAACCCAGCAGAAAGAGUCUGAUUUGAAACCAAGGAACUCUGAUAUUUCCUCGCUCAGAAUUCCAAACCAGUUUCAAGAUCAAAGCUGUGGGAAAAGUCAACAAGAUCAAGCUAUCUCCAAAACCAGAUUUGCGUUCUUAAACUCUACUCUGUCUUUUUUUUUACUUUGCCUAUAUUUGUCAUGUUUAUUUCGUUGUUUGUUUUAUUUGCUUAUUUUUGGUGUGAGUUUAUGCUUGAAACAUUGAGGACAAUGUUUGAUUUAAGUGUGGGGGGGGGGGUAACCAUUGUUUUCAUGAAAUUCGUAGGAGUUUAUCAAUUACUCUAAUGUUGUUCCUUGCUGUUUUAAAAUAUCACCCCAUUACUUCUAGUGUUGUUUCCUUGUGUUUUAAGUUUUUUAAGCUGUUUUGGAGUGUUUCAGUGUGUUUUGACAUAAAAAAUCCGAAAAUUCAUAAAAAUUUGAAAAAAUUGUUUUGAAAAACCCAAAAAAGAGUUGUUUUUUGUGUGUUUGUUUGUGUCUUAGGGUACCUUCCAACACAAUGAUGAGGAUUCAGUUUUUAAUUACAUGGACUGUUAAAGAGAGUGAUUAACAUGGAUGAAAGUUUGAUUUACUCUUUGUUUAUGCUUGGUUGUGGUUAUAACUUAUGAAUUCACAUGCAAUCAUAAAAGGAAAAAAAUUCAGUUUUUUUGUAACAUGCUUGAAGGAAAGGAACUCAAACUAACGCUACAACCUUGUGAGACUUGAGCCUAAACGUUUAUUUGGAGAGUUAAAAUCUGUGCAUUCUAUUGUUUUCUAAAGUCGUUGCAUGAUCUCAUUAUUCUUUGCUUGGUUGCUACUUAGAAGGCGUUUCAUCAUUUAGUUCCAAAUGCUAGAACUCAUGCCCAUUUCAUUCAAAGCAUGUUAUUGAUUUGCAUAACACAUAUUCAAGAUGAAGUUGUGUAGUGACCACCACCUUAGCCAAAACUGCCGUGCCCUAUGUCAUUAUGUUUAAGUUUAACCCCAUUGAGCCUUGUUUAGCCUAUGUUCUUUGUUAACCCACAUUAUCCUCACCUAGCCUAGAUUUAGGACCAUCCAUACCCUUGUUCUUAAAGCAUAGUAAAAGCAUGAUUCAAAUUGAAUUCCUUUUGAAUUAUGUUGGCAGAAAACAAGUGUGGGGGAAGUGAUUUUGUGUGUGUGUAAUGUGUUGCCAUAAGGCACGGGUAAGGAAAAAGAAAAGGAAAAAAAGAAAAUUCGUGGAAAAAGAAUGAAAAGAAGAAAGUGUGAAAAGAUGAAAAAAGAGUUGAAAAAUAUGUGAAAAAAAAAAGAGUUUCCAAAGUAUUGUUUUUUGUUGAAGAAAGGGUCCAAAACAAUUGAAUUCGGCCCUAAGGAGUUGUUUGAAUCUUCCCCUUGUGUGUUUAAAGUUAAUUUCUGCAAUCUAAGUGAAUUCUAAGUGUCUCAAUUUCAUUACUUUGCUUACUAUUGCUUUGAAGAACGUUUGUUUUCCCUAUCCUUUCUUUUGUUAACCAACACCCAAGCCCCGUUACAACCCUUAACUUCUAUCUUGAGUGUUAUGUGUUUCAAUUUGUGGAGUUUUGAAUUUGGUAUGAGCAUAUGGUGUCACUGGUUCUCGCAUCUAAGUAGUAGCAUUCCAUUCAUGAGAUCAUAUCUAAACAUGCUUCUUAACUCUAGAAAUUGCGUUCUUUGUGAUACAUAUAUGUGAGCAUUCGUUUUCAUAUCUACAUCAAUCUUCUCACAUAUGACUAGUGUAGGGUGUGUAGUUAGAAAAUCUGAGUGAAAAUAGAGUGUAUAUCUUGUAAGGAAUUGAGGGAAUUCUCUAAGGCAUGUUACUACAUUCAAAAGCAUUGUUUUAAUUGAUUACUUGUGAACUAGUAAGUGGUGGACUUUAAUUAAGUAUGUGCUUGUGUAAAGAUGACUCAAAUCUGUGGGGAUAAUGAUCUUUAACAUGUCAUGUGCAUUGGAAAUCCCUGAGGCAAAUGUUGGAAGGUUUAGGUUUGUGUUUUGGUUUUUGUUUUGUUUUGUUUGUUUUGUUUUGCUCGAGGACUAGCAAAAGCUAAGUGUGGGGGAAUUUGAUAGGAGCAUAUUUAUGCGACUUAGUUAGCUUGUUCUUUGCAUUUAUGUUGUUUUUCUUAUUAUUAUAUUUUAAGCUAUUUCGUGUGUUUUAGGUCAAAUAAACAAGAGUGAGUUGCAUUUGGAGAUGGCAUUUAUCAAGCUUAAGCAUCAUUUCAAGUCAUUCACCUACCCACUACAUCCACUCAUUUCACCAACACAUUCACCUACCACACAUCAUCAUUUCACCCACAUCCAUUCUCCAAACAUCCACCCACUACACCCAUUACAUCCACUCAUUACCAAACAUCCACCCACUCACAUUACACCAACCAAUCCACUCAUUCAAACAUUUCCACUACACCCCAUUACAUUCCACUCAUUACCAAACAACUCAUACACUACACCCAUUAUCCACUCAUUACCAAACAUCCACCCACUACACCAUUACAUCCACUCAUUACCACAACACUCAUCCACUACAACCCAUUACAUCCACUCAUUACAACUCCAAUACACUCCUCUCCCUACCUAUAAAUACAUCCACCCUUCACCAUACUUUGGGGGGCUAUCAUCCAAAGACACCACAUUUCAUAUCUCACAACUUCAUUCACAAACACAAUUUCCUUGCCGUGACCUCCAUCCAUUCAUCUAGCCAUACUACAUCUCACCAAUCCAUAUACUUUCAUCUCUUAGCCGUGCAAAUCCAUUCCAUCCAUAUAUCCAUACACAUCCUAGACACUUGUGCUACAACAAGGUGGUGAAAACAAAGGUCCUUGACGUUUCAAGCUUGGAACUUUGGAGCGUUUUAGGUGUACUCCGUUC
rnacentral:lncRNA from 1 species